rnacentral:sRNA from 1 species
CGGUGCGCGCCGCGCUCUGGGAUCCCAGGGGCUUCCUCUCUGGGCGGGUGUGCGGCUCGCGCCUCGGGGUGUGGACGGCGGCCCCCCCGGUGCGCGCCCCCGCGCUCCGCCGCCAGGCCAGAUAUGUUUCCUUCUUUUUGCCAUUCUCUACGUUGUUUCCUACUUCAUCAUCACAAGAUACAAGAGAAAAUCAGGCCGGAGAGCAGUGGGGCAAUCAUGGCUGACUAUAGCCUCGACCUCCUGGGCUCAAGUGAUUCUCCAACCUCAGCCUCCUGAGUAUCCUGCACUACAGAUGAACAAGAAGAUGAAGAUGCCAUCGUCAACAGGAUUUCGUUGUUUUUGAGCACGUUCACUCUCGCAGUGUCAGCUGGGGCUGUUUUGCUUUUACCCUUCUCAAUCAUCAGCAAUGAAAUCCUGCUUUCUUUUCCUCAGAACUACUAUAUUCAGUGGCUAAAUGGCUCCCUGAUUCAUGGUUAGU